rnacentral:rRNA from 1 species
UACGUAGGGUGCGAGCGUUAAUCGGAAUUACUGGGCGUAAAGCGUGCGCAGGCGGUUUUGUAAGCCGGAUGUGAAAUCCCCGGGCUUAACCUGGGAAUGGCAUUCGGGACUGCAAGGCUGGAGUGCGGCAGAGGAGACUGGAAUUCCUGGUGUAGCAGUGAAAUGCGUAGAUAUCAGGAGGAACACCGAUGGCGAAGGCAGGUCUCUGGGCUGACACUGACGCUCAUGCACGAAAGCGUGGGGAGC